AUACGUAGGGUGCGAGCGUUGUCCGGAAUUACUGGGCGUAAAGAGCUCGUAGGUGGUUUGUCGCGUCGUCUGUGAAAUUCCGGGGCUUAACUCCGGGCGUGCAGGCGAUACGGGCAUAACUUGAGUACUGUAGGGGAGACUGGAAUUCCUGGUGUAGCGGUGAAAUGUGCAGAUAUCAGGAGGAACACCGGUGGCGAAGGCGGGUCUCUGGGCAGUAACUGACGCUGAGGAGCGAAAGCAUGGGUAGCGAACAGGAUUAGAUACCCUGGUAGUCCAUGCCGUAAACGGUGGGCGCUAGGUGUAGGGGUCUUCCACGACUUCUGUGCCGUAGCUAACGCAUUAAGCGCCCCGCCUGGGGAGUACGGCCGCAAGGCUAAAACUCAAAGGAAUUGACGGGG
rnacentral:rRNA from 1 species